rnacentral:rRNA from 1 species
GACAAGAAAUAACAAUACGGGGCUUAAAGUCUUGUAAUUGGAAUGAUGGGAAUUUAAACCUCUUCCAGAGUAUCAAUUGGAGGGCAAGUCUGGUGCCAGCAGCCGCGGUAAUUCCAGCUCCAAUAGCGUAUAUUAAAUUUGUUGCAGUUAAAAAGCUCGUAGUUGAAUUUCUGCUGCAUUACAUAUCUCUUGUUUGAGCUUGUUUUUGUGGCUUAUUUCGGUUUGAUUUUUUUAUCUUUCCGGAUGAUUACUUUGAGAAAAUUAGAGUGCUCAAAGCAGGCUUUUGCCUUGAAUAGUUUAGCAUGGAAUAAUAAAGUAGGACUUUGGUUCUAUUUUGUUGGUUUUAGGUACCAAAGUAAUGGUUAAUAGGAACAGUUGGGGGCAUUCGUAUUUAACUGUCAGAGGUGAAAUUCUUAG